rnacentral:rRNA from 2 species
CUUGGUCAUUUUGAGGAAGUAAAAGUCGUAACAAGGUUUCCGUAGGUGAACCUGCGGAAGGAUCAUUCAUAAUCAAGUGUUCUUAUGGCACUUUCAAAAAUCCAUAUCCACCUUGUGUGCAAUGUCAUCUCUCUGGGGGCUGCCGGCUGUCAAAAGCCGUGUGGUCACCUUUGGGAUUUAUAUCUACUCAGAACUUUAGUGAUUUUGUCUGAAACAUAUUAUGAAUACUUAAUUCAAAAUACAACUUUCAACAACGGAUCUCUUGGCUCCCGCAUCGAUGAAGAACGCAGCGAAAUGCGAUACGUAAUGUGAAUUGCAGAAUUCAGUGAAUCAUCGAAUCUUUGAACGCAUAUUGCGCUCUCUGGUAUUCCGGAGAGCAUGCUUGUUUGAGUAUCAGUAAACACCUCAACUUCCAUAUCUUUUUUGAAAUGGGAGUUGGACUUGAGUGAUCCCAACGCUUUUCCUUACCGAAAAGUGGCGGGUUACUUGAAAUGCAGGUGCAGCUGGACUUUUCUCUGAGCUAUAAGCAUAUCUAUUUAGUCUGCCUAAAAAACAGAUUAUUACCUUUGCUGCAGCUAACAUAAAGGAGAUUAGUUCUUGUGCUGACUGAUGCAGGAUUCACAGAGACAGGCUUCGGCCGAAUUUGUAAACUCGAUCUCAAAUCAAGUAAGACUACCCGCUGAACUUAAGCAUAUCAAUAAGCGGAGGA